AACAAAACCAGUCCUGUAACUGAGAGGCAACUGUUUGGAUUAAAAAGUUAUGGUCUAUAGGUUAGUUUACAAAAGUUGUAAAGAAUACAGUUUAAAAAAAUAUAAAGAAAUUAAAACAGAUCAAUUAAUUUGAUUGAUAAGAAAGGCCAAAGUUUGUGAUGAGGAAAGCCUAUGCUGUCACCAGCUAUUAAAAUUAAGUGUAUUUUAGGAUAAAUUGUAUUCUAAGAAAGUCAUUAGCCGUUUAGAAGAGCUGAAGAAAAUGUAAGCAUUUGAUGUUCUUAGAAUUGGUUGAUGUUCAUGAAAUACUCACAAGUAAACCAGCUGAUAGUCAUGUGUAGUUCUCUGAGACAUUUCCUAAGAGAACCUGAAGGGGUUAAACAGCUGUCAGUGAAGUUCUGAGGCAAGAAUUGUACAAGUUAGUAGGGCAAUUUCUGGAGUGGAAAUGCUGGUCAUAUAUCUCAGUAUGUCUCAAAACAGUGAGAAAUUAUGCGAUUUUUAGCACAACUAAGGUUUCUUUCAGUGGUUUCAGGAGUUAGUUUUAUGCAUAGUAAUGGAUAUUGACAGAGCAGGAGUUUAAGCAGAGAAAACAACUGUUGCUCAGCAUAUAUUUAUAGAGGACCAAUCUUGUGAAACUAACGUCUGGUUCUCUUGAUAAGAUUAAAUACUUGGUGUGGUAUGCUGUUGAUAUUGCAGACAGACGUCACUGAAACUUUUUACUUGGCUCUUACGUGGCAUUUUGAUUAUGGAACUAAAAUGAUAGAUCAAGUGACAACAUAUGAAAUGGUUUAAAACCCAGUGGAUAAUGCGAAUCAAGUGGUUACCUAUAAAUAGUUGCAGUUACGUAAUGGCGUGUGAUGAGGGCUCCUCAUCAUCAAACAUUACAGUUGGAGUUGAAUUAAGCUCUUAUUUCCAAAUCAUUUCUGUUACAUCAGUAAAGCGAAGAGGUUUCCACACCUGUCUGCAUUACAAAGUUGAUAAUGAAGAGGGAAGAGAGACUGGCU
rnacentral:lncRNA from 12 species